ACCGUCUGAACUGAAACAUCUAAGUAGGACGAGGAAAAGAAAUCAACCGAGAUUCCGUAAGUAGUGGCGAGCGAACACGGAAGAGGCCAAACCGAAGGUAGCAAUAUCUUCGGGGUACGGACAGUAAACGGCAUUGCGGUAUCUUAGCAGAAGUGCAUGGGACGGCACACCAUAGAGAGUGAUAGUCUCGUAAGCGAAAAGAGAAGGCAGCCAACUGUAUCCAGAGUACCGCCGGACACGUGAAACCCGGUGGGAACAUGGGGGGACCAUCCUCCAAGCCUAAAUACUCCCUGGUGACCGAUAGAGAACAGUACUGUGAAGGAAAGGUGAAAAGAACCCCGGGAGGGGAGUGAAAAGAACCUGAAACCUUAUGCUUACAAGCACCGAGAGCCCAUCAAAGGGUGAUCGGGUACCUUUUGUAGAAUGGUCCGGCGAGUGAAUGUAACUGGCAAGGUUAAGCACUUAAGGUGUGGAGCCGAAGCGAAAGCAAGUCUUAAUAGGGCGUCAAGUCAGUUGUAUUCGACCCGAAACCGUGUGACCUAGCCAUGAGCAGGCUGAAGUGGAGGUAAAACUCCAUGGAGGGCCGAACCCACUCCCGUUGAAAUGGUAGGGGAUGACUUGUGGCUAGCGGAGAAAUUCCAAUCGAACUCGGAGAUAGCUGGUUCUCUCCGAAAUAGCUUUAGGGCUAGCCUCGAUUUAACAUUACCGGAGGUAAAGCACUGAAUGGGCUAGGGGCCGAGAGGUUACUGAACCCUAUCAAACUAAGAAUGCCGGAUAAUGAUAAUCGGGAGUCAGACAGUGUGAGAUAAGUUUCAUUGUCAAAAGGGAAACAGCCCAGACCCACAGCUAAGGUCCCAAAGUACAGUUAAGUGGUGAAGGAUGUGGAAUUGCAUAGACAACCAGGAUGUUGGCUUAGAAGCAGCCACUCAUUAAAAGAGUGCGUAAUAGCUCACUGGUCGAGUGAUUCUGCGCCGAAAAUUUAACGGGGCUAAAUUGUACACCGAAGCUUGGGAUACAUCUAAUGUAUGGUAGGAGAGCGUUGUAUACGGGGUGAAGUCAGAGCGGAAGCGCUGGUGGACUGUAUACAAGUGAGAAUGCCGGAAUGAGUAGCGAGAAUUAUGUGAGAAUCAUAAUGGCCGAAAGACUAAGGUUUUAGAAGGAAGGUUCGUCCGCUUCUAGUCAGCCGGGAGCUAAGGCGAGGCCGAAAGGCGUAGUCGAUGCACAUACGGUGGAGAUUCCGUAGCCGCCAUUAAUUUAAACAGAGGGACACUUUCAAGGGGCAUGACCCGGGCGUUGGUAGACCCGGGCGUAAGGGACCGAAGAUUAGUAGGGAAGCAUGCUUUAAGGAAGGCGAGAAAAGCUCUGUGUAUAGAAGAUGGCGCCCGUACCGCAAACCGACACAGGUAGUCAGGAAGAGAAUUCUAAGGCCAACGGGAGAAGGGUAGUUAAGGAACUCGGCAAAUUGACCCCGUAACUUCGGAAUAAGGGGUGCUCACGAGAGUGAGCCGCAGUGAAUAGGUCCAGGCGACUGUUUAUCAAAAACACAGCUCUCUGCUAAAUCGAAAGAUGACGUAUAGGGGGUGACACCUGCCCGGUGCUGGAAGGUUAAGAGGAAGGGUGCAAGCUCUGAAUUGAAGCCCCAGUAAACGGCGGCCGUAACUAUAACGGUCCUAAGGUAGCGAAAUUCCUUGUCGGGUAAGUUCCGACCCGCACGAAUGGUGUAACGAUCUGGACACUGUCUCAACUACCCACCCGGCGAAAUUGUAGUACCGGUGAAGAUGCCGGUUACCCGCGGCAAGACGGAAAGACCCCAUGGAGCUUUACUGUAACCUGAUAUUGGGUUUCGGUAUUUUAUGUACAGGAUAGGUGGGAGACUAUGAAACUAAGGCGCCAGCCUUAGCGGAGUCGCCCUUGGGAUACCACUCUUAAAGUACUGAAAUUCUAACCUGCGGCCGUGAAUCCGGUCGGGGGACAUUGUCAGGCGGGCAGUUUGACUGGGGCGGUCGCCUCCAAAAGAGUAACGGAGGCGCUCAAAGGUUCGCUCAGCAUGGUCGGAAACCAUGCCUUAGAGUGUAAACGCAAAAGCGAGCCUAACUGCGAGGCUGACGGGCCGAGCAGUAACGAAAGUUGGAGUUAGUGAUCCGGCGGUAUGU
rnacentral:rRNA from 1 species